rnacentral:rRNA from 1 species
GAAUAUUGGACAAUGGGGGCAACCCUGAUCCAGCCAUGCCGCGUGUGUGAAGAAGGCCUUCGGGUUGUAAAGCACUUUAAGCGAGGAGGAAGGCUGUACGGUUAAUACCCGUGCGGAUUGACGUUACUCGCAGAAUAAGCACCGGCUAACUCCGUGCAAGCAGCCGCGGUAAUACGGAGGGUGCAAGCGUUAAUCGGAAUUACUGGGCGUAAAGCGCGCGUAGGCGGCUGAUUAAGUCGGGUGUGAAAGCCCCGGGCUCAACCUGGGAACUGCAUCCGAUACUGGUCGGCUAGAGUAUGAGAGAGGGAGGUAGAAUUCCACGUGUAGCGGUGAAAUGCGUAGAUAUGUGGAGGAAUACCGGUGGCGAAGGCGGCCUCCUGGCUUAAUACUGACGCUGAGGUGCGAAAGCGUGGGGAUCAAACAGGA